GGACUACUUUCUUAUGCGCAUUAAGCAGCUUCUACAACCGGACACCCCGGGCGCGACGUUUGGGGAUCAGAUAGCUGCACAGAUCAUCUAAGAUCAGCAGGGUUCCUCUUCUUGCUGCCACGCAUGGCGUUCUUCAGAGACCUGAUGGAGUUAUUACCCUGUCGGGAAGCAGACAGGCGAUGACUCAAGUGCAUGUAACCUUAUUAUCGACCGACUUGAUCACUUCGCAAAGUACGUGCUUCAGGAAGGAAAUCCAGAUCAUCCUCGGGGAUCCCGGAGCAUAUCCAGUUCAGAAGGGAUGAGCAGCUAUUCACAGACGUUCUCC